rnacentral:rRNA from 1 species
CGCGUAGGCGGUUCGUUAAGUCCUGUGUGAAAUCCCCCGGCUCAACUGGGGAACUGCACAGGAAACUAGCGGGCUUGAGUUCGGGAGAGGGAAGCGGAAUUCCGGGUGUAGCGGUGAAAUGCGUAGAUAUCCGGAGGAACACCGGUGGCGAAGGCGGCUUCCUGGACCGACACUGACGCUGAGGCGCGAAAGCUAGGGGAGCAAAACGG